rnacentral:pre_miRNA from 1 species
AAAAAGUUUGUUUGGGGUUUUCAUUACAUCUUACGGAAAAACCUGAAUGAACUUAUUGG